AAGAGACGGGUGAGUCAUCGAAUCUUUGAACGCACAUUGCGCCCCUCGGUAUUCCGUGGGGCACGCCUGUUCGAGCGUCAUUUACACCCUCAAGCGCAGCUUGGUGUUGGGCGUCUGUCCCGCUCUCCGUAGCGCGGACUCGCCUCAAAGUCAUUGGCGGCGGUCGUGCCGGCUCCUCGCGCAGCACAUUUGCGCUUCUCGGAGGCCCGGCGGAUCGGCAUCCAGCAAGCUACUUUUUAUGACUUGACCUCGGAUCAGGUGAGGAUACCCGCUGAACUUAAGCAUAUCAAUAAGCGGAGG
rnacentral:misc_RNA from 1 species